UUUUAAUGUCAAUUUUAAUGUCAAAGCAGUAUUACACAAAACAAAUAAUCUGAAGAACAGUUAGUAUAUAAUGUCUAUGUUUCUAUGUGUAGUUGUAUCUAUGAGUAUUGAUCUGAAAGCUCAGGUGAUGGUGUGUCAGGUGAUCUCCAGCAGGUGGCAGCAGAGCUCUGCUGUAGGUCUGUGCUGCACUAAUGAGGAACAGUCAGUCACUGCUGUUAAUCACAACAUGAGGCAGUGAAAAAACACUAACAUGUGAUGUGAAACUGUACAUCUGAGUGACUGAGCGGGACCUCAAAGGGGCGGAGUUUAGGGCGGGACUUAGUUAAGUGAACUUGACAAUGUGGAGACUUGAUUCUAUGUGUUGGUUUUUGAUUGUAAGUUAAGAUCUCAAAAGUGGAGGUAAAUGAGUGUAAACUCGAAGGGGCGGGUUUAAUUAUAUGAGCUUGAAGGGGCAGAGUUUAAGGUGUGACUUGUCUCUUUGCGUCGGUUGUUGAUUGGAUGUUGAUAUGUGGGUUUGGCACUCAAAAUUGGAUGUGAAUGUUUUGAGGCGGGGCCUAGUUAUGAGCUUGAGGGGGCGGAGUUUAAAGCGUGACUUAUGCUAUUCAUGCUUUGUCAUCAGUUUCUAUAGCAACAGUCAACAAAAUGAACCCGCGUGAAAGAAUGUCACUGGCUGCUGUAAAACACAAUACAGGGCUGGUGGCGCUGUGUCCUCCCAGCCUGGGGUCAGAGGUCAGAGGUCAUCCAGCAGAGGAGAGGAUCCCUCAUGAAUCUGCACAGACAGUGAGCCGCUCGUCAGUAUUCACAGAUAUGAAAGAUGAGUUGAUGGUAAAGGACUGUGAUGCCCUUCAGAAACACCCAGAUCAUCAGCAUCAGAUGACUCUCACCCGCUCGCCCUGAAAACUGCACUGAAGCAGGUCACACAAGACCACAUCACUAGCACACAUCCAGACACUUGAGAAGUUUAUAAACUCGCCACAUCCCUCUUCAGUUCAGGGUUAUUAUUGUUAACUAAAUAAGAAAACAGAAGAGCGCACGCCACCAGUGUAGUGCACAGAUUUGUCAAAAUGGCACUACGCUGAUUUGGAGAGACACAGAGGAGAGGAAUUGUUGAAUAAAGUCGUUAUUUUUGUUUUCUUCGUGUACAAAAAGUAUUGUCGUCACUUCAUAACGUUACGGUUGAAUCACUGAUGGCAGAUGGAGUAUUCUGACGAUGCUUUUCAUACUUUUAUGAACCUUGACACUGUUAUUUAUUUGGCAGUCUAUGGGACAGUCUCAAGCCUCCCUGUUUUCAUCCAAAAUAUCUUAAAGUGUGUUCCAUAGAUGACCGGAGCUUUUACGGAUUUGGAACGACAUGGGGGUAAGUGAUUAAUGACAACAUUUUCAUUUUGGGGUGGAGUAUCCCUUUAAUAGCAACUAUAAUAGUUUAUUACGGGAACUAACUUGAAAUACUACAAUAAACUAAAACUGGAAAAAAAUAUACUACUCUAGAGAUAUAUUUUUAGAAAACUAAUAAAAAUAAAAAACAUG
rnacentral:lncRNA from 1 species